rnacentral:SRP_RNA from 2 species
GCCAGGCAUAGCGGUGUAUGCCUGUAAUCCCAGUUACUCGGGAGGCUGAGGCAGGUGAAUCGCUUGAACCCAGGAGGCAGAGGCUGCAGUGAGCCAAGAUUGCACCACUGCACUCCAGCCUGGGUGACAGAGCGAGACUCUGUGUCAA